rnacentral:lncRNA from 1 species
GUGAUGCCCAGCAUUCGGAAGCAUGUGACGUCAGAAAGCUCUUUUCCACAUGCUUCAAGAACCAUUGGAGAGUCUACAGGUGUUACUCGGCAUAACAGUCUCUCUUCAGUCCCAGUCUCCAAUCUGUGCCUGUACCUCACACCACCCAGGGCCCUGCCACACUACACCCCGACUGCGGAGCUCCCCACACCAUCAGGCGCUGUCUACUCAGGCACCUACUGACUGCUUCCCAUCUGCCUCCACUCUCGCCGCUAUGUGCUCUGCAGCAGGAAGUGCCGGUUUCUUGUCUUUCCGAGGAGUAAACUGCUCUUACUAAUCCCCUCAGUAUGGUCUCUGAAUUAGCAACCAUCUGUUCCAGAUCUCUUCAGAGCAGGAUUGCCGGGCUGGGAAACGGUCUGUUUGUAGUUAAAGUGCCAUAACAAGAAAAAUUUUUGUUGGCUCCCUAAUACUGCGAUAAAUAUGUGCCACCGGGGCCACAGAAAUGUGGUCUUUCUCUUU